rnacentral:rRNA from 1 species
UACGUAGGGUGCGAGCGUUAAUCGGAAUUACUGGGCGUAAAGUGUGCGCAGGCGGCUUCGCAAGUCGAGUGUGAAAUCCCCGAGCUUAACUUGGGAAUUGCGCUCGAAACUACGGAGCUGGAGUGUGGCAGAGGAAGGUGGAAUUCCACGUGUAGCGGUGAAAUGCGUAGAGAUGUGGAGGAACACCGAUGGCGAAGGCGGCCUGCUGGGCAGUAGCUGACGCUGAUGCGCGACAGCGUGGGGAGCAAACAGG